GGGGUGUGCUCAGAGCAGGGAGCCUGAAGAAAUGGCUUGUCUGUUUAUAACACACCCAACAGGAAUCUGGGUUUGAUGUGAAAAAGGGCACAAAACGUGUGGCCUUCCUACGAACAGACACCCUACACAU
ensembl:snoRNA